AGCUCUGUCGGUUAGAGCGUGCUGCUCAUAACACCAAGGUCAUGGGUUCGAUCCCCAU
rnacentral:tRNA from 1 species